UACGUAGGGUGCGAGCGUUGUCCGGAAUCACUGGGCGUAAAGAGCUCGUAGGUGGUUUGUCGCGUUGUUCGUGAAAUCUCACGGCUUAACUGUGAGCGUGCGGGCGAUACGGGCAGACUAGAGUACUGCAGGGGAGACUGGAAUUCCUGGUGUAGCGGUGGAAUGCGCAGAUAUCAGGAGGAACACCGGUGGCGAAGGCGGGUCUCUGGGCAGUAACUGACGCUGAGGAGCGAAAGCGUGGGGAGCGAACAGG
rnacentral:rRNA from 1 species